rnacentral:rRNA from 1 species
AUUGAACGCUGGCGGCAGGCCUAACACAUGCAAGUCGAACGAGUGGCGGACGGGUGAGUAAUGUCUGGGAAACUGCCUGAUGGAGGGGGAUAACUACUGGACACGGUAGCUAAUACCGCAUGCCAUCAGAUGUGCCCGGAUGGGAUUAGCUAGUUGGUGGGGUAACGGCUCACCAAGGCGACGAUCCCUAGCUGGUCUGAGAGGAUGACCAGCCACACGGGAACUGAGACACGGUCCAGACUCCUACGGGAGGCAGCGGUGGGGAAUAGUGCCAUAUGGGCGAAAGCCUGAUGCAGCCAUGCCGCGUGUAUGAAGAAGGCCUGCGGGUUGUAAAGUACUUUCAUCGGGGAGGCGUUACCCGCAGAAGAAGCACCGGCUAACUCCGUGCCAGCCGCCGCGGUAAUAC